GCUGCCAGAGGGGGAGCUGGUAAGGUUCCAACCCUUCAAUCAAGAGGGAGCUCAGCAAAAAGGGAAAAGAAUCCACAGCUUCAAGAUUUCCAACAACCUCUAGAAAAAUGGAAUCCUCUCCAGAAAAUGAAUCUUCCA